ensembl:lncRNA
GUAACAGGGCUGCUUGAUCUGCUCUUUCUAUGUCCUGGGGUUAAAACCAUUUCUUCAGAUGCUCCUUCUGAAUGGCAAGAAAAGUAAUUUAAAAAACAUUAUUUUUUCUUUCCUUUCAUUAAAAAAAAAAAAAAAAAUCUGAAGACCCACCUUCUAGGAUGAAAAGUUCUCAAGGUCCCAGCAAAGUACUAUAACAUAUAUUGUGACAAUUCUGACGAUAUCUGUUUUUACAGGGAUUUCCUUUUUUUUUUUUUUCCUUUCUCAAAGAUUCAUUGGGAUGGCCCUCUGAGUGCUAUAAUUUCAUUUCCGGAGUUAGCACAGUCAAGCCUGCUAGAUGAAAUAUGGCCAGAUACAGAGUCAAUGUGCUGGCCUCGGAAAUCGUGUAUUAUUUAAAACUUUCGCCCGUGUCUCUUUUCCGAAAAUAGGAAUGUGAUUUGUGCUUCUUUUUUAGUGAAGAGUAUCUGCACAUUUUAAAAACUGCAGGGACAGUAGGAACUGCCCUCUUCCCGUCCUUCACUGCAGGCUGCCCCUGCGCACCGGUGACCGACACGGAGGGUGGGGCUGCGAGCUGCGCCCCGAGGGUCGUGUCCCCUCCCCGGUGGCCCCGCAUCGAGGCCGUCGGGAUGGAUUUCGGUCCUGGGGCUCCGGCGGCCGGGCCUGGGAGGACGCGGCGGAAGGCAGCCGGCCCUCCUGGGGCCGCGGAGCCUUCGAGCACACUGGGGACUGUCUGAGAGAAGCGCGUUUGCACAGGAGCGGGCGCGCGGCGGCCGGCGGGAAGCGGGGCGGACGACGGUCCGGGCGGCGGGGUCGCGGGGCGCCGCUGGUCCAGCCCGGGCCUCGGCGCCGCCCGCCCGCUUCGGCGCCCCGCGCGGGGCGUCCGGGUGAGCGGGCGGCGGGGCCGUCAGUCAGGGCGGCGGGCGCCGAUUGGCCGAGCGGGCGGCCGGGGGCGGGGCUCGGCCGCCUUCCCGUGGGCCGCGGCGGCGUCGCCCCCACGAAGACCUUGAGCAGCUUUCUCCUCGGCCCGCGGUGGCCGGGGCGGCAAUCCCGUGGACAGCCGGAGGCCUUCGAAGAGCCUGUCUAGUAAUUGAGUUGGUUGUUUAGAAAGGGGUUCCUCACAGGGAGUUUAGAAAAUUGUGCGCCCUGAGAGAAGUCUUACCACUUCCCCCCCACCGCCCCUGGUGUUAGUUUGAGGCCAUUUUUAGCCAGUGACCAGGUAAAUUUCCAGAAGUUUUGCAUAGGCGUGAGCGCGCCCACUCGCACUUUGAGGCCCCACCAUCCAGAGGGGACAGCACGGCCUGUGGAAGCUGGGGCUCGCUCCCCCGGGGCUCCAGGCGUCCUGCCAGUAUGCCCUGUGUC